CCGAAUGCCGCCCUGGAGCGUGGCCCCGAGUCGCUCGCAUAGGAAGCUCGGGCAGAGGGCUGUCUUCUGCCGGAGACCGCCUUAUGGUCUCAAAAAGUAUCCUAAGAAUGAUCUGGAGGUAUAAUGACCCUGAAUGAAAACAUUCAUGUAAAGGCAAAAGAACUCCCCAGUGCUUCGCAGUCCCCCAGCAAGAAGGAACAGCAACACUACUAGCAGGCACAAUUUAGUCAGUCCUAGCAGAUUGGGCCCGAUUGUUCCAGAAAUCAGACUUAAAGCCUCUGAGGCUAUCCAUGGGCCCCUCUCAUUUUACAGAUGAGGAACCUGGGGCCCGGAAAAGUCACGAGGCCUACACCAAUGUGGUACAGAGGAUUAUACAGGAUAAUAAGUGGCAGUGGGGAGAAACUUUGCUGGGAGGACUAAAGUCUCCAGCUGCUCUCCCCUUUGGGCCACAUGGGAUAGAGAGCACUAAGCUUGGACUCAGACAGACAUUUUCCUGAAUUCAAAUCGGCCUCAGACAGUAGCUGGGUGACCCUGGACCAGUCACUUAACUUGGCCUCCGUUUCCUCCUCUGUAAAAUUACCUGGAGAAGGAAAUGGCAAAUCCCAUCAGCAUCUUUGCCUAGAGAACCCUAACUGGAGCCCCGCCUGGAAAGGCUGAAUAAGCACAGCAAGUGCCUCCUCAGCCGUAGUUGUGGUCUGUGACAGAGCACAAACUUCAGGCUGAGGUGGCCCGGAGAGCAGAUCUCCUACAGCCUAAGUAAGCCCCACAAGGCUUCCCGGAAAGGGGGGAGCGAAGCAUUGCAAGAAAGCAUGUCUGUACCGGGCAGGGGCUCUUCCGCGGACGGACACCGCUGCGCCGCUCUUCAGUCAGCCUCUCUGGUCGCUGGCUGGGAGGUGCGAGGAUGGAAUCGGGCUGGGCACGGCGGAAUCUAAUAAAGAAACUCCGACUCCCCGUUCUCCCCCCUCCUUUCCUCCCAUUGGGACACACAGAGAGACUCUUCACGUGGACCUGGAGAGGAAUGCGGGCUGCCCGGUGCAUCACCGCCACCCGUUAUCUUAUCUGGGGCUUGGAAGCCGCGCCAAUCCUGUUGAAGGCUUAGGACGCCCGCCAGACUCUCCCGCCUCCCGUCUGACCUGGGGGAACAAAGGGCUUUCCAAGUCAGCCAUUGCCGCCCCGCCCGCACCGCAAUGUUUCUCAGGCCCACAUCCGGGCAAAAGCGGCGGCUUUCUCUCCCCCGCACUAAUUGUUGUCCUUCGGGCACGACCCAAGAAGCAUCCCGACCCGUGGACACCCCCCAUCCCGUAGAAGCGGCUACCGGUGCCCGGCUCUGGGGCUCUGGCUCCACAAAGAGCCUCGCGUGAUUCACGCAGACACGCGCGCAGCACACGCGCAGAGAGGGCCAGCCCGGGAACCCGAAAGACCUGGGCUUGGGCCGCCGCUGGCCGCGUGGUCCGUGGCGCCCUCCAAGACUUCCAGCGCGGAGCGGCCAACUCCGCAGGGCUCCUGAUGCGCUUGUGGGUACAGAUCGCACUCGCGCACGCAUACACAGAACAGACGCCUUCCUCACACGUUGUACACGCGCAGAAGGCCCGGCGCGUGGGCCACUUGCCCCCAGCCCAGUGUGCUGACUCGAUGGGCCGCUUUCUGUGUGGAGUCUUCGGGCCUUGCUCUAGCCCUUUUGUGGGAUUUAACAAAAUCUGCAACCCGCGAAAGGAAACGUCCACUUUUUAAGCCGUGUCUCCUCUUGGGAAUGUUGGUGACGCGCCCGUCCGAAUCUGCAGUUGAAUGGGGGGCUUCUGGGGGAGUUUCCCAGGUGCCUCGGGUAGGCACCGGCCCCCAGUGGCCCGGGCUCUUGCCUGGGAAGGUUGGUCUUUCAGAGAAAGAGGACAUGGGAACAGGUGCCAACUCCCACAGAAGGCCGUCUAGAGAACUCAGUCCAGGCAGCCAGAAUUCUGGUGCUAAAAACGUGUCCUUGUAUGAGAGUCGCCUUCGCCAAGAGAGGGGCGCCCGUAGUUGAGCAAUUAAGUUGUCACUGCAGUAGUCAGAAUGCCAUUUCCAUGACAUUAAAUAUCACUCUUCAACAGAAUUGAAGUAGUUGUUGGAAAACAGUAGAUACGUAAGCGUUAGGCCGUCCCUUGGACCAGAGGCGAGCCUUUCAUGCCCAGGAAGCCGCCGUGCCCAGACUCAGAAUCCCGCCUGACGCCAGUUCAGCUUUGGGAGGUUGAGGAAAGCCAAGAGUUUUCUGCAAAUGGUUUCCAAACGUGAACUACAAUCAGAGCUUUACCGUGUGGCUUGGUGACAUUCAUGGGGGGGGGGGGGGUGAGAGUGUAACAAAGUCCUGAUUCACCCAACAUUGAAGGAGAAUACCUAGCACGAUUAUUUUGAGGGCAUCCUCCCCCCCCCCCCCCCCCCAGAAUAACCUUACAAAUGAAUACAUCUUGCUGGAAUCCCUCCCCUGGGAUUUGUGGGCAGGCUAUAGAAGGAAUGAUCAAUGCGGUUUCAUUUAGCAAAAGAUUCAAUACAUCAUUGAAGUACGACGAUUGCUUUUAGCUUACUAUUCGUGUCUUCAUGGAAAGUACUUCUGCAAAAAGUGGCACCUCCUCUACAAUGUUUACAUUUUAGUGGGGGAGCGAUGAGGCACAGAUACAAACAGAUACAGUACAAACAAGGCUAGUCAGAAUACGGGAAGCUGGUGAGGAACGCUGAGGACUAGAACGAGGUGAAGCUCUGUCGGAUUCGUUUUGCCAUCCGGCUUAGAGAGAGAUGAAAGAAGAGAGAGGGUCAUUUCUCUACAUUAAUAGAUUACAAAUAAUGGGAUGGGAGAAGGUGGAGGUGCUCUAUUCUUACUAUUUUGCUUCUGUUUUCUAUGAUAAUGAGAAUGUUCUUUGGACUGAGGAUGGCAGAACACAAAUGACUAAUAGGGAAUUAAUAUCCAAGAAAGGUAUAGAGAGUGCCUAGACCCCCUCUAUGAGUUUAUGCCACUUGGUUCUCAUUAGUUGCACUUGUUUUAAUUAAUAGAAUUUAUCCAUAUGUGUCCCAGCCCUUAUUCUCUCUCCCUACACCACAGAAGGUAUUAUCCAGAAGACAGAGAUAUUUGUACAAAUUAUGUCUUUCAUGUUUCCAUUGAAUAGUUUCUCUCUGGUAGUAAUAUUCACAAUUUAUUCUUUAAGUAUUAAAUCUGUAGCGGUCCAAGA